GUUGGGCUCCUGAAUCAGCAGGGUCAACCAUGUUCCAGACACGCUGAAGGCAAGAAGGAAAAAGACAAGAAGGAAAAUGUUGGCACAGGUAGAUGCAGUAGGACAUGCUACCAAAUACUGCUAACUUAACAGGAACACAAGCAGGUACACAAAGAUUAUGAGAGCUGGACCUGCUAUUCUACCUACAUUGAAGAUAAUGAGCUUGUGGAUUCUAUGCCAGAUCUCAACUGAUGUAAGGUCCAGGGACAGGUUCUCUGAUAUAAAUGCUAAAGCAAGUCAGCAGGUUUAAGUAAUUGCUGUCCGGCUACUCAGAUAAUUCAAUGAUGAAGUGUAUCAACUAACAAAAUGUAAUCUGUUAGCAAGGUGUAUGCUUGUGUGAACUAUCUGGCACCAAUGGGAUAAAAAAAUCUAUAUCAUGUUCUUUUAUUUUAAAAUUACCAUUGUUGAAUAUAGCUUGAAUGAUUCUUUCAUCUUAGAUUGAAAAAAUUAAAAUGUUAUUCUGCUGAGCAUUUACGCUAACUUCCAGCUUUUACAUUGUUAUUGUGGGACAAUAUAAUAAUGUCCAAAGUGUGAGUGAGAAUAAGUUAUAAACUGUUGCUUUACAUGAUGAAAUAAUUCGCAUAACACACACCUGCUGAAAUACUUCAAAUCAGGAUUUUGCAGUAAAUCCAAAUGAAAAAUACUUUCCGAUUUCUUUGGUCACUCCAGU